CCUACGGGAGGCAGCAGUGGGGAAUAUUGGGCAAUGGGCGAAAGCCUGACCCAGCAACGCCGCGUGAAGGAAGAAGGCUUUCGGGUUGUAAACUUCUUUUGACAGGGAAGAGCAGAAGACGGUACCUGUCGAAUAAGCCACGGCUAACUACGUGCCAUCAGCCGCGGUAAUACGUAGGUGGCAAACGUUGUCCGGAUUUACGGGGGGUAAAGGGCGUGUAGCCGGGCUGACAAGUCAGAUGUGAAAUCCGGGGGCUCAACCCCCGAACUGCAUUUGAAACUGUUGGUCUUGAGUAUCGGAGAGGCAGGCGGAAGUCCUAGUGUAGCGGUGAAAUGCGUAGAUAUUAGGAGGAACACCAGUGGCGAAGGCGGCCUGCUGGACGACAACUGACGGUGAGGCGCGAAAGCGUGGGGAGCAAACAGGAUUAGAUACCCCUGUAGUC
rnacentral:rRNA from 1 species